UACGUAGGGUGCGAGCGUUAAUCGGAAUUACUGGGCGUAAAGCGUGCGCAGGCGGUUUUGUAAGCCAAGUGUGAAAUCCCCGGGCUUAACCUGGGAAUGGCAUUUGGGACUGCAAGGCUGGAGUGCGGCAGAGGUGACUGGAAUUCCCGGUAUAGCAGUGAAAUGCGUAGAUAUCGGGAGGAAUACCGAUGGCGAAGGCAGGUCUCUGGGCUGACACUGACGCUCAUGCACGAAAGCGUGGGGAGCAAACAGG
rnacentral:rRNA from 1 species